UACGGGGGGGGCAAGCGUUGUUCGGAAUUACUGGGCGUAAAGGGCUCGUAGGUGGCCAACUAAGUCGGACGUGAAAUCCCUCAGCUUAACUGGGGAACUGCAUCCGAUACUGGAUGGCUCGAGUUUGGGAGAGGGAUGCGGAAUUCCAGGUGUAGCGGUGAAAUGCGUAGAUAUCUGGAGGAACACCGGUGGCGAAGGCGGCAUCCUGGACCAACACUGACACUGAGGAGCGAAAGCCAGGGGAGCAAACAGG
rnacentral:rRNA from 1 species